UGGGUUCAGCUGCCCCAUCUCAAUCAGCUUCAACGGCUUUGGGCUCUUAGUUUUGGCAGGGGCCAGAUCUGAUUCAUUCCAGUGUCCCCAAUACCUAGCACGAAGCUGUCUGCUGAAUGCAUGAUUAAUUCUGUUUUAUUUUGCAAAUACAGUUUUUUUUAAUUGAAGAGAAAUUUGCACAACAUAAAAUUAACCGUUUUAAAAUGUACAAACCAAACUCUGCCACCAAGUCGAUUCUGACUCAUGGCGGCCCCAUGUUUCAAGGGUACAAUUCAGCAGAAUUUAGUACAUUCACGGUGUUGUACAACGCUAUCUCUAUCUAGUUCCAAAACAUUGUCAUCACCCCAAAAGAAAAUUCCAUACCCAUUAUGCAGUCAUUUCCUAUUCUUCCCUCCUCCAGCCCCUGGCAACCACCCAGCUUCUUUUUCUGUUUCUGUGGAUUUACCUAUUCUGGACAUUUCAUACAAAUGGAAUCAUACAAUAUGUAAACUUUUGUGUCUGACUUCCCAUUUAUCAUAAUAUUUUUCAGGCUCAUCACAUUGUAGCAUGAAUCAGUACUUCAUUCCUUUUUAUGGCUGAGUCAUAGUCCAUCGGAUGUAUAUACCACAGUUUGUUUAUCUAUUCAUCUGUUACUGGGCAUUUGAGAUGUGUCUACCUUUAGCUGUUGUGAAUAGUGCUGUAGACAUUCACGUACAAGUAUUUGUUUGAAUAUCUGUUUUUAAUUCUUUGGGGUAUAUACUUAUGCAUGACUGGAUUUUUAAAGAAGGUGGUAUUUCUUCACAGGCUUUUAGGAAGGUAAUCAAACUUAUGAACCAGUGCCCGUUGGAAAGGGGUUUCUGUCUUGGGCCAGGUUCACAUUACCAUGUUAUCAACAGGUUAGAUAAAGAAUGGUGUACAUGUAUCAAAUCCAUCCACAAGAAGCUUGGAGGGAAAGCUAAAAAUCACAAUGCAAAUGUAUAAAAAGGGCAAAGUAUCAAGUCUCCCAUUUGGUUUCUUUACACGAUUGCCCAAGCACAGGAUGUGGGAGAACUGGUUUACCAACAAUAGUACAAAAAAGAGCUGGGAGUUUGAGCUAACCACAAGCUCUCCAGGAGCCAAGACUGUGGCUGUCAAAUAAGCAAAUGGAAAUGUAGGCUGCAUUAACAGAGGCAUAGCAUCCAGAACAAAGAAGGCAACUACUCUACUCUGCUCCACACUCAGUGACCCACCUGGAGAUCCAGGACCUCUCUGAUAUGCUGGGGUGUGCUCUGAGUCAGGAGAAAGUGACCAGACUACAGGAGCCUGGAAACCAGGUCAUGUGACAAGUGUGCAGAGGGCCUGGGUGAAGGCAGGGUGGCUGGGGCAGGGUCCUAUGACCCACGGUCUCCAGAGGUGCACGCCACCCCUAAACCCUCCCCACAUAAGAAAAAAUUUUUUCCUACCAGGGAGUGAGCUCUCAGCCCUUUAGGGUGGGGUGUGGGGGUGAGUAGUGGCUCCUAAUAUGGAAAGAUUGGGAAGGACAUCAGGUGAGCCCAGGUGACUCUGGGGUCCUGGGGUUUUUCUAAUACCGAGUAACUGAAAUUAAGCCUGAGGGGAAAAGAGGGAUAGAAAGAAUGAAUGUCUUUCCUGUUGGUUUAUCUCCUCCUCCUCUUUUCCUCUCCUCUUCCUCCCUCCUCCUUCUCUUUCUCCCUUCUUCAUCCUUGCUCCUGCUUCUCCUCUUCCUCCAGGCUGGUGCUCAGCACCAUUCUGUCUUGGGAAGAAGCACCUAAAUCCCAGCACAAACUAUGGAUCUUUGUUAGAAUGAGGGAUGAAUCAGUAGGGUAGAACUUAACUGUCUAGCUUGUAAAAGGAGGUGCCCUGGUGGUGCAGUGAUUAAGCGCUUGGCUGCUAACAGAGAGGUCAGCUGCUGGAAUCCACCACCUGCUCCUCACAAAAAAAGAUGUGGCAGUCUACUUCCAUAAAGAUCACAGCCUUGGAAAUCCUGUGGGGCAGCUCUACUCUGUCCUAUAGGGUCUCUAUGAGUUGGAAUUAACUCGACAGCAAUGGGUUAGCUUGUAAAAAAUUCUAUUUGUGCCAUUACAGUGAAUGAAAAAAGGGGGAUACAAAAUUAUAGACACAGAUGGCUAGGGUUAAAAUGCGUAGAAAUCAGUGGUAUAAAACACACCAAAAUCUUAAUAUCAGUUACCUGUGUGAAUCAGGACCAUUCGAAUUUUUUCUGUUUUGUGUUUUUCAGUUAUUUUUCAAAUGUUCUGCUAAGGAGAGGCAUUACUUUUAUAGUCAUAAAAAAGCGUUUAAUAACUUGAGAACUAAUUUAAAAGGAAUAGAUUCAGGGGUGCCAUAGAAGCAUUGUUCACAGUGUUUCUUCUGUCCACUUCCUGCCCAGCCCUGGCUGGCGUGUGGCUCACCCACCCCACACUUUUCUUCCCCACUCACAGAGCUCCUUCUGGUCCCCUGGACCUCACCUCCCAGGGCACAGUUCCGAGCAGGCACUUGGGAAAUUUUGGUAAACACAUGACAUCUUGCUUAAAGAGUCAUACAAACAAGGGAUUUGAGAGCAGGAAGGGGAGCCUAGCUCAGCCUCAGGUAGAAAAAACCCAAGGGGUGGGGAGACCGCAAGACGGGUGCAGCCAACAGAGUUGGGCAAUCUACAGGGUAGGGCAGGGCCUCUCCUCGCCCUGCGAGGCUGCAAUUGCUAACAUUGACCCCCAACUGUCAGGAAGCACUCUGGGUGGAGGGGUCCUGAAGAGCUGGGCGGUGUGUGCAGCUCACACUACCUCAGACACCACCGGGGAGAGCACAGAUUCACUGAGUGUUUCCCUAGAGCAGCACUGGGCUACUCCUUUGCACACACUCUCUCGUUUAAUCCAUAUGCCAACUUCCCAUGAGGUCAGCAUCCUUACCGAAUUUUGCCUACAAGAAAACUGAAGCUCAGAAAAGCUAAGAACCAUGUGACACAGCUAGUAAAUAGGUGCUUUUGACCACUCUUCGACACUGCCCCAGAAUAGCCUGAAACACUUCAGCUUCCUGGUUGGUGAAAUGACCUCUCUCUUGUUCUUCUUGGCCUUGAUGUGGCCCCACUGAUGGUUUGGUUUUUGCACGUGAUGAUACUUUAACUGUGGCCUUGGAGAUAGAACCUCCAACACAUUUCCUCUUCUCUCAGGCCUAGCAGGGUGCCAGAAGCAGCAGCUGCAGAGACCCAUCUUCCCUCAUAUCCGGCUCUGGUGGGCAUGUGAGGCUAAAGAGGGAGCCCUCAGGGAAGCCACAAAGGCAAAUCUCAGGUUCCAGGUUGGGGUUGAAAGGGCAGAAGGCGGUGCUUGGCCUGGCUUUAUUUCUACCUGAUUAAGAGAGAGAACAAAAACCAUCAACACGGGACCUGCAAAAAGAUCCUACAGCACAAGAAGGAAGAUUGUCUGAAGAUUCAGAUGAAGAGCUGGUCUCUGAAAUGAUUUUCUAUAAGAAAGAAGAAUAAGUUCGAAAAAUCAUCUGGUGCUCACUCAUCUAUGCCAAGAAAUAUGGAAGACAGCUUCCCGGCCAACUGACUGGAAAAGAUCCAUGUUUAUGCCUAUUCCCAAGAAAGGUGAUUCAGCCGAAUGUGGAAACUAUAGAACAAUAUCAUUAAUAUCACACGCAAGCAAAAUUUUCCUGAAGAUCAUUCAAAAACGGCUGCACCAGUGUAUCGACAGGGAACGGCCAGAAAUUCAGGCUGGUUUCAGAAGAGGACAUGGAGCCAGGAUAUCAUUGCUGAUGUCAGGUAGAUCCUGGCUGAAAGCAGAGAAUACCAAAAGGUUGUUUACUUGUGUUUUAUUGUCUAUGCAAAGACAUUCGACUGUGCGGAUCAUAACAAGUUAUGGAUAACAUUGUGAAGAAUGGGAAUUCCAGAACACUUAACUGUGCUCACGAGGAACCUUUAAGUAGAUCAAGAGGCAGUUGUUCGGACAGAGCAAGCGGAUACUGAUUGGUUUAAAGUCAGCAGAGGUGUGCGUCAGGGUUGUAUUCUUUCACCAUACCUAUUCAGUCUGUAUGCUGAGCAAAUAAUACGAGAACCUGGACUAUAUGAAGAAGAAUGGGGCAUCAGGGUUGGAGGAAGACUCAUUAACAACCUGAGUUAUGCAGAUGAUACAACCUUGCUUGCUGAAAGUGAAGAGGACUUGAAGCACUUACUAACGAAGAUCAAAGACCACAGCCCUCAGUAUGGAUUGCACAUUAAUAUAAAGAAAGCAAAAAUCCUCACAACUGGACCAAUGAGCAACAUCAUGAUAAAUGGAGAAAAGAUUGAAGUUGUCAAGGAUUUCAUUUUACUUGGAUCUACAAUCACCCAUGGAAGCAGCAGUUGAGAAAUCAUAAGAUGUAUUGCAUUGUGCAAAUCUGGUGCCAAAUACCUCUUUAAAAUGUUGAAAAGCAAAGAUGUCACCUCGAAGACUAAGGUGCACCUGACCGAAGUUAUGGUAUUUUCAAUGGCAUCAUAUGCAUGUGAAAGCUGGACAAUAAAUAAGGAAGGCAGAAGAAGAAUUGACACCUUUGAACUGUGGUGUUGGCAAAGAAUAUUGACCAUACCGUGGACUACCAAAAGAAUGAACAAAUCUGCCUUGGAAGAAGUACAGCCAGAAUGCUCCUUAGAAGCAAGGAUGGUGAGACUAUGUCUCACAUACUUUGGACAUGUUGUCAGGAGGGAUCAGUCCCUGGAGAAGGACAUCAUGCUUGGCAGAGUACAGGGUCAGCGGAAAAGAGGAAGACCCUCAAUGGGGGGGACUGACACAGUGGCUGCAACAAUGGGCUCAAGCAUAACAACGAUUGUAAGGAUGGUGCAGGACAGGGCAGUGUUUUGUUCUGUUGUGCAUAGGGUCGCUAUGGGUCGGAACCGACUCAACGGCACCCAACAACAACAACAACGACAACAUCAAAUUUACAAAUGCACAAUCCUCUUGCUCUGGUAAUGACACUUCAGUGAAAUUUUUCUACACACAUUUGCAUCCAGGCAAAAAGUAUGUACAGACUUAUUCACUGGAGCAUUGUUUGUACUAGCAAUAAAUAAAUACCAGUAGAAACAGCCCAAAUGUCCACCGAGAGAAGACUAAAUACAUUUUGGUACAUCCAUCCAAUGGGAUACUAUGUCGCCCCUAAGAAGAAUGAGGAAGCUGCCAAUGUACUGAUUUGGAGAAAUCCCCAAAAUACCUUAUUGAGUGAUAAAAUGCAAGGUCAGUGUGUAUCUUAUGCUACAUUUUGUGUAAAUAAAUAAAUAAAUAAAAAUAAGGAGAAAUAUUUGUAUUUGCACAAAGAAAUGCAAGACACUAGUAAAGUUAUUUUCCAGGUUAGUAAGGACGGGAGGUGGGAACUAGAAAGACGAAUGACGGGGGAUAGAAGGAAACUUUUCUCUACGUAUUUUUUUCCCCUAUGUUUAAAAUUUUCGAACCAUGUAAAUGUAUUACUCGUUCAAAAACUUAAAUUAAAAAGUUAAAUGACAUAGAAAAUUCACAUAAAUAAACACAGACAAAACUAUGUUAGGUAAAUGCAAACAAAAUUAAGCAUGGUAUAGUAAUAGUGAUAGAAGAAAUAAUAAAAAUUGAGACUAAAAGCAUUAAAGAGAACAAAAGGGGAUAUUUUACUUAUAAAACAUAUAUACAUAAUUCAUAGUGAGGAAGAAUUUUUAUAUGUGGAAUAAUAGAACAUCAAAAUAAAUGAAACAAAUGGAAGGAGAGGUUGAUAUAAACAAAGAAAUAGUGGGAGACAUACCAUCAUCAGCCUGAUAGGUCAUAUAGGCUAAAAAUAAAUAUGAAUUACAUUGCUUUAAAAUAUUAUAUAUGUGUUUAUAUAUGUAUAUAUGUAUAUCAUACAACUAGACUAAUAAAUUAUGAAAAGUGGAUCCUAUAAAAAGAGAGAACAUUUCCUUUUAAAAUAUCCAUGGGACAAAUAAAAAGUAAAUUCUAAAAAUAAAAUAUACACGGGCUACAGAUUUUAAUUAAACCAAUGUCCUCUUCUUCCCCCACACAUCUGCAAUAAAAUCAGAAAUUUAUAACCCAAGUUUAAACAAUGAAAAUAAACAACCCCAACAACCUAAAUGUUUCCCUAAAAUUGAGAAAUAUUAAUUGGACCAAAGAGGAAUUAAAAAUUCAACUACAAAUUAUUUGUAAAACACUGAUAAAGGAAACUUUAUAUAUCAAAAUGUAUGGGAUGCAUCCAAAGCUAAAUCCAGAGAGAAACCAUAACCUUAAACGCUUACAUUAUUUUAAAAGAAUAAAAAUAAACGAAGGCAUUCACUUCAAUAAAUUUGUAGAAAAAGAAUACAAAAGCUACCCCAAGGUAACUAAGAGGAAGAAAAUGAUAAAGAUAAAAGCAAAAAUGAAUUACUUAGUAAACUACAGAACUGAGAAAUUAAUUAAGGUGCUUUCCAAACAAGCAAAUGAAAAAUCUUCUUAGUACGGAGUAUAAAACACUUUAUAACAUGUUGCUUGUUUUCUUAGUUAUGUAGUGCUGCUAUAACAGACAUACCACAAGUAGAUGGCUUUAACAAACAUCUCUCAUAGCUUAGGAGGCUAGAAGCAAGAAGCUCCACCGGAAGGUUUUCUCCCUCUGUUAGCCUGGGAGAAGAUCUUUGUCAUCAAUCUUCCCCUGGUCUCAGAGCUUCUCAGCACAUGGACCCCGGAUCCAAAGGACACGCUCUGCUCCUGGCUCUUCUUUCUUGGUGGUAUCAGGUCCCUCUCCUCUCUGCUCACGUCUCUCUUUUAUAUCUCAAAAGAGAUUGACUCAAGAUACAACCUAAUCCUGUAGAUUUUGUCCUGCCUCAUUAACAAAGCACUUCCUCUAAUCCUGCCUCAUUAACAUCACAGACGUUAGGAUUUACAAUACUUAGGAUAAUUGCAUCAGAUCACAAAAUGAAGUUCAACCACACAAUACUGGAAAUCAUGACUUAGACAAAUAGACACACACGGUGGGGGGGGGUCACAAUCCAAUCCAUAACAUUCGUGAACCUCUUAAGUUUGUCAGUUGACACUGUCCCCACACAGUCAUCUCUGCCAUACUGAGGUAUGAUGCCCCUAGCUAUCUGAACUCAGGAACCAAAUGGAUUAAUUCAGAUAAAUAUUUUGAGAUAGGGCUGGUAUCUCUCGAUCUCUGAGCUCUUGUUCCUUGCUAACCAUCCAAAGAACAAGAGAAGUCCACCCACCCUUUAAGGCUCAGCUCAAAGGCUCCCUCUUCCAGGCAGUCUUUGCAGAUCCAAACAACUACAACACAACUAGAAUGGGCUGACUGCAAGGAAGUGAGUUAUUUCAACAUCUGUGGCCACCACACCACCAUCAGUUACCAUUCAGUCGACUUUGAUUCAUGGUGACCCCAAACGUGUCAGAGUAGUAUUGUAAUCUAUAGGAACCUAUUCUGUAAUCUUCAAAGGCUGGUUUUUUGGAAGUAGACUGACAGGCCCUUCAGGCGCCUCUGGGUGGCUCCAACCUCUAACCUUUCAGUUAGCAUCCAAGGACAUUAACAUUUUGCACCACCCAGGGACUCCAACAUUCAUGGCAAAAUGGAUUAAUGGGUGAAGCUGAUCCCAACUGUAGGGGUGGAGAAAAGCUGCCUGGUGAAGGUGGCCGGUUCAUGAAGGAGAAAUAGGAUUUCAACCUGCAAUUGAGCAGGAGAAAGAGCAUUUCAGCAAGAAAGAAAGCACAGGCAAAAGCAGGGGGCAGUAUGUGAAAAAACAGAAUGAAAAAACAGUGGGACAUCACAUAUGAAUGAGGUAUGGGAGGCUGAUGGGGAGUGGGGACAAGUGAGGGUGGAAGGGUCAAUGAGGCAGGUCACAAAGGGCCUUAAAUGACACAUUGAGGGACUUUUGCUUCUUCCUACUAUGGGUGAUGGGGAGUGGCAGGAAGUUUCUGAGCAGGACUGGGAGGAGGUUAGGACUGUCAGCUGGUCAGUUGCCUGAGCCCCACCCUCACUGAGGUGGUAGGUAGUGUGAGGGGAGAGAGAACCAGCUGGCAGGCUGCCCAGAUGGAACUGCGGGGGAGGCAGACUGGGCAGCUCUGGCUCUGGAGGCCUGGGGCGGGGGAUAAGGGGCACAGCCCUGGAGCCCAUUUCUCCUCCUGGACCCAUUUCCUGGCUCCUGGACACCACCACCACCACCCCCAGUCCCCAUCACCACCAGGGAGGAGCUGGAGACAGCCCUUGGCAGCUCCUCCAGUCACCAUGGGGCUUUUCCAUGUACCCAUCUGGCCCAGCCCCCACAGGGGCCUCUGCGGUCAGGUCUUUGUGUUUGCACAGUAGCCCUCUUUGUCCUGAGCAGCAAUCCCCUCCCUCUGCCCUUCUCUCUCUUGCCUGCAUUACAAAAAGCACCAGCUUUGCAGACAGACAGAGGAGGGCUCUGAUCUUGAUUUCCCCCACUGAGUCACUUCGUGACCCUGGACAAGUUACUUUGCUUCUCUGAGCCUCAGUUUUUGGGUCGUUCAAAAGGAGUUGUUGUGAGGAAUCAAACAACCAGCAAGAAUUGGUCUGCUUCCUGGUGCUGAGACCCAAACAACGAACAAUGUUGUGUGCCCUACCCAACCCUCAUGCUGUUCACUGAGCCUUCCAAUUAUAUCUCCCACCUUAUCCUCACCACCUGUCUAGGUGGCUAUGGUUCUCCCAUUUGACAGAUGAGGAAACCAAGGCCCGAGAACAGGCCCAGCUUCACGGGCAUGUGACGUGUAUAGUCGUACAGGGCCCCACAUUUAGAAAGAUAUUUCACUUGGUUUAAUGUCUGCUGUCCUAUCUUGAAAUCCUUAGUAAUUUUUGAACAAAGGACCUCACAUAUUCAUUUUGCCCUGGGUCCCGCAGUUAUGUGGUUGGUCCUGCUUAUGGGACGGCAGAGCAGGGACUCCCUCAGACCUGAAUCAGGCUUCCUGCCUCCCAGGUCUGCCUCCCGUGGGUCCUCGCAUCCUGCCAUGCUGACAGCCAGAGCUUCUAGGCUGCACUUGGCAUCAGAGCCCUGGCCCCUGCCUGGGAAACCAGAGAGGCACAGCUCCUGGCCAGCAAAGGAGGGAGGACAGUGCAGGCCAACACAGCACCCCAGGGAGCAAGCAAGACAAGACAGCUGGAGUCAGCCCAACCCUGUGUAACUGGAGGCUCCAGUGUGGGUCCCAACACUACGGCCGAGCCACGGCUCCGGGAAAUCAGCAGGCCCUUCCUUCCCAGCGGGUCACAGUUCUGGGGAAAGGGGACUCACUGCAGACUCACUGCGUGACUUUGGACAUUCACUUCCCCUUUCUGAACCUCAGUCUCCCUGUGUGUAAAAUAAGAAUAGCAUCACAGUGUUCUGGUGAAGAUUAAAUGAGUUACCUUAGCAUAAUGACUAACACAAAGAAGGUGAUCACUAAAUAAAGUUCUAUUUACUCAUUCGCUCACAAAAUAAAUACUCACAGAGGCUGACCAGGUGACAGAGGCAGUGCUCGGUGCUGGGCACAUAAUUGUGAACAAGAUGGGCCCUGGCCCUCAAAAAGAUCCCCAAUUAGAGGGGGAGGUAGACAUCAACAGUGAUAAGAGUAUAGUAAGAGAUGUGACAAAAGGAAGGUACCAAUGGGAUACAUAGGCUGGAUCUUAGAGGAUUAGUGGUGGGAAGCCAGAAGAAGGUCAAAGGCAGAGAAGCAUUAAGGCAGAGAAACAGCAAGUGCUCAGCACUUCAGCAUGACUAGGUAGAAGACACAUGGUGAGCCAAGAGAGGAGGGAUAGACUAGAGUGGCAGGUUGUAAAGUCAGGCUUUAUCUUGAGGGUGGUGGGCCACCAGAGGGUCUGAAGGAGGUGAUGGCACCUUGGAGGGAGGGGUUGGAGGUGUUGAAUUCCAGCUAAGUGAGGAGAUCUGAGCAGGGGCAGGGGCUCCAUCCCCAGCAUGAAUUCUCAAAGCAGAAGAUUUUCUCAGGGGAGAUAAGAGAAGAUGAAAGGGAAGACAAGGAGGCCUGAGCAAGCCAAAUGCCUCUUCAGGGUUGGAGAGACAGGGAGCCUCUUGAUGCAUGGGGAAGUACUGCUGCUGGGGCUUUGCCCCUCCCCAUUCCAACUGCUGCUAAUGGAACUCCAUCCCCUUCCCCUCCCAUGGCUCCAUUACCUACCUCCUGGGGACCAUUACACUGCCUAGGCCUUCACCAUUAGCAUUCCUUGAUGGCUGGAUUCCACAGAGACUUCCUUGAUGCUAUUCCCCCCUUUCAUAUGGGGCCUUAUUGUAUGGGGCUUGUUGUGUGACUUACUGGACCUCAAUUUCCUGGCUGGAUGAAUGGUUCUAAAUUGUUUUAGCCACGGAAGUCACUAUAUUUUCCCAACAAACUCUUACCAGAGAAUAUAAAUAAACAGAAUAAAAGCAAAAGUGUUCAGGUUGAAGUGGGGUGGGAUCUCCCAGGCAAUGGAGACUCAGCUGGGGGCUGUGAAGCUUGCUGGACUUCAUGGCAACUAAAACCCAGUGACAAGACUGUCAGGGGAAGAUGUCAAGAGACAGAAACUUCUAGCCCUUCAUUAGAGGGGGUACUAACCCCUUAAACCUGAGCAGCUCAGAAUGAUGGGCCAAACCCUAAAAAAGAGGCUCAGAGAAGCCAGUAAGCAAGGGGUUAUUAUUACCCAAUUUUCCAAAAUAGGAAACUGAGUCUCAGAAAGGAGUUACAGAGGGGUGAAGCAAGAGCAGAAUCUGAGCCCAAGGCUGUGAGGUUCAAGGACAAGGCCUUUUCCUAUGCGUCUCAGGCCUUACUAAAGCCACCUGUUAGGGGAGCUCAAAGCACCCAUCUCAGGGAUGCAGUUUCUUUGGCUAUAAAAUAAGGGAGUUGGACCAGAACAGGGGAAGGGCCCCGGGAUGACGGCCCUUCAGGCAUCUUGGUAUCAAAGGAAUUUUUACCCCUGGGCUAAACAGCAGUGACAGUAAGAGGUUUGCAGGCUUGGAAAGGAGAGGGGGCUGGCUGGAGCCUCAAGUGCCCAAAGGGACUUUUCCACAUCUGGACCCCAAGGCCUGGGCCCUAGAAGUUGAAGCCAUAGGGAUUUCCUAGCCCCUGAAACAUUUAUGAACCAGCUUGGACAAUGAGUGGUAGAGGCUAGACAAGAGACCUUUGUGCCUUUUGGGCAGAGGUCCCAGGGGGACUGCUGAAGCAGCUUAGCCACACAGGGCUAUGUAUCCACUCUGAUCCUGUUCCUGGCAGGGCUGCAGCAGGCACCCUUCCUGGGCCCCUCCUGGGACAAGCAGCCAGGCCCUAGGCAACUCACGUGGAGCCCAGCAGUACCGAAGGCCCCAGAGUCCUGGGCAAGCUCCUUGAUUGCAGGAAGAGAGGCCUCCUCUGCACUUGUCCAGCCAAUGGACAGUCCAAAGCACCAGAUGGAUGGAGACUAGAGGGUGGGAGGGUGAGCGUGAUUGGCUUUACCUCACAAAGAGGAACUCUAACUGGGUCAAGGUCUCCCAGAGUCAGUGCUGAAGCUGAGCCAAAACCUACGAGUUUGAAUCCUAGACUAGAAAUGGGAAAGAUAGAGCCAUUCAUUCAUUUACCCAUCCACACAUACAGCAAAUACUGAGCACCUCCUGAGUCCAGGCACUGCACUAGGCUCUGGGAACUCAAAAGGAACAAGGCAGACUUGGUCUGUGCCCUCCUGGAGCUCACCUUCCAGGAAAGGGACAUACACAUGAUCAAAGAAUCUCAGAGUGAGGUUGAGAGCAGAGAACAGAGUGAUGCUUGUGGUUAGAGUAGUCUGAGAAAGCUUCUCAAAGGAAGUUGCUCAGGCUGAGGGAAGAAAAGGGCAGGUUGUUCAGGGAACUGCUGGUGACUCUUUCAGGUGGAGAUUAAGGAGGGGGAUCAAAAGGGAGGCUGUCUGGCCCCAGGCUGGGACCUUCCCCCCAGAGCUGGAGAGGAGGCAGGACCCUGAGUGCCUGGAUAUCCACUAAAGCAAUGGGGAGCACACCCCCAGGGUUUCAAGAGCGGUUGUCAAGGUUGUCAGCAAGUGCUCUGAACAGGUCCUCCUGGGCAAGUCACUCCAAAACCUGACCAGAGGGGGCUGG